rnacentral:rRNA from 1 species
CCUACGGGAGGCAGCAGUGAGGAAUAUUGGUCAAUGGACGGGAGUCUGAACCAGCCAAGUAGCGUGAAGGAUGACUGCCCUAUGAGUUGUAAACUUCUUUUAUAUGGGAAUAAAACAGGGUAUGUAUACCCACUUGAAUGUACCAUAUGAAUAAGGAUCGGCUAACUCCGUGCCAGCAGCCGCGGUAAUACGGAGGAUCCGAGCGUUAUCCGGAUUUAUUGGGUUUAAAGGGAGCGUAGGUGGAUUGUUAAGUUAGUGGUGAAAGUUUGGAGCGUAACUGUAGAAUUGCAUUUGAUACUGGCAAUCUAGAGAGUAGUAGAGGUGGGCGGAAUUCGUGGUGUAGCGGUGAAAUGCUUAGAGAUCAUGAAGAACACCGAUUGCGAAGGCAGCUCACUGAACUACAACUGACACUGAGGCUCGAAAGUGUGGGUAGCAAACAGGAUUAGAUACCCGUGUAGUC